GGGGGUGUAGAGCGUAAUUGGUAGCGUCCCUGACUGUAAAUCAGGUAACUUCGGUUCUUGAAGGUUCAAAUCCUUCCGCUCCCA
rnacentral:tRNA from 1 species